UCCUGCGAACACAAACAACGCUUAACUAUGUUAAUCAUUCAUGACAUAAUUCUUCGAUAUAUAAUCCUGCACUAGUCAGCGUGGAAAACCGGGCUUUUAGUAUCGGGAAUGUUGAUCUAUUUUUAGAACAUUGACUAUAUACACAAAUAAUUCAGCAAAUAAUUCGGUUGGUGUGCUUGUGAAACAUUGGAGUACACAUUACAGAGAAGUGUUAAUCGCGUUCAAAGACAUUACUCAAACACAUAUUUCAGAAGAAAUGGCCGUCAAAACAUUGAUGAAUCUAACAUUCCUGUUUACGAUGACAAUAUUGUGUGUACGUAACUGUGAAGCAUUUCAAGGAGAUAAGGAAAUUCUAGCAACCGAAGGGGAAAAUAUUCAUCUUGAAUGUGACGCGAUUGGUGGUUUUCAGAUACAUUUUACACAAAUCAAUAAGGAAAAGGUUACGAUUGGUGGUUGUACUAUAUAUGGCGGCUGCUAUUUGACGAAUGAAACCCUAAAAGCAAAAUACAGUCUGACAAGAGCAAAGAAUGGCGGAGAAUUAAUCCUGAAAAACAUUGGACAUGGUCACUAUGGAAAUUACACAUGCACAGAGGUGUUUGAUAAAACAAAGUCGAAGUCAGUUUCGGUGUCGCGAAAAGAAAAUAUGGCAGGAAAUGGGUGUAGUUUCCACGGGCUAUUCUAUUCUGCGCUGACAGUUCUUUUUAUCUUGGUUACUUAUUAUAUAGGAUUGUAAUGUUUCGUUUGUUAACCUUUCCUUUUCCGCAUACAUUGAACUAUCUGAAGGCAAUUGAUUUAAAAUCACAAACUUUUUCACAACUUUAUCAUUUGCAUAAAUAUUCACAGUUUUUAUUUAAGACUGAAAGAAACAAUAUAGUGUAUAGACCGUUAUAUUAAUAUCAUAAAACAUCACGUCCAUCAUAGUGUUGACAGCACUAACAUGACGUGGUAGAGUAAAACAAUGUUCUAGCUGAAAAUGCCUCGAAGUUUAGUUAUUCGUGUAUAUGUCUCGGAUUCAGACUCUAAAUGUUUGUGAAAUGGGACGCAGGACUAAGAAAAACUGAUUUUCAUUUUUUUGGCAACCGACCACUGAGGACAGUGUAACCCACUUCUGAGGACAGUGUGACCCACAGCUGAGGACAGUGUGACUUGUCUGCAUAUAUCUUGGCGGUCAUGAGUGCGCCGUGCUUAGGCAGAUAUGCUGAAACUGGGAUGUAAUGGUUCAGCGACAUUUAGUGAUAUUUAAUUAGCAAUACUUAUAACGUGCGUACGCGAUAGUUAUCACGUGCACACAUAAUAGUUAUGUGCGUUACGCCAUUAUUGCUUUAAGUUAUUGAGCUGAUUUUAGGUAUAUGAGUCUAACUACAUGACUUACAGAUGAAGUGUGAGUUUCAUGGUCAUGGUCCAUUGAUUUUUUAUGAAGUUAUGGGCCUCGGACUUAAAAAUUGUCUCUAUAAUAACGGUUUUCCGAAAGUCUUUUACGAACGCUUUUAGAUAUUUAGCUGAAAUUUUUGGUUUAUGAGUCUACCUACAUGACUUACAGAUGAAGUGUGAGUUUCGUUGUGGUCCAUUGAUUUUUGGCGAGUUUAUGAGCCUUUGCCAUAGAAAUUGUCUCUAUAUUAACCGUUUUCAUAAGGUUUAUUACCCAACUUCGUAUAUUGAGCUAAAUUUUGGUAUGUGAGUCUACCAACAUGACUUACAGAUAAAGUGUGAUUUUCGUUCCAGUCCAUUGAUUUUUGGAAAAGUUAUGGGCCUUGGACUUAGAACUGUUAUCUAUAAAAACCAUUUUCUGAAAAAAAAAAUCUGAAACACUUUCAGAUAUUGAGCUAAUUUUUGGUAUGUGAGUCUACCUACAUGCCUUACAGAUGAAGUGUGAGUUUUGUAUCGGCCCAUUGAUUUUUGGCGAAGUUAUGUGCCUUGAACUUAACACUUUCUAAAGUAGCUGUUGUGCGGCUUCAAAGCGCAGUAGGGGGCAUUGUGUUUCACAAACACAGGUCUUGUUUAUAAUUACUCCUUUGAUUGUGUAAAUGAUAUCUAUGCUGUACAUAAAUGAUGAUGAGUAUUGAUCAAUAUACUGGGCAUCUAUGAUCUAUAGUGUUUCAUAACGCUUAACUUUUUAAAUGCAUCGAUUGAAAGUAAACUAUAUACAGCAUCUAUGUGUUAUAUUGUAGAAAUUUAUAAUUUGACUGAUUUUUUGGUUAGAUAUAUUAAUAUUUUAAUGCUGUCGAACCAGGUUAGGGUUGAUUACGUUUUUUUACGUCUGUAAACCAUGCAUAUAAGCUUGCAUUGAGUUUUAGCAUGGGGUUGUUAACAGAGUUAGUCGGGGGCCAUGUUAAUGUUAUUGUUUCUAAAUUUAAAAAAGUUUGCAGCUCAAUUAUAUGAGGUUAAAUAAUUUUGUUGCAAUUGAUAUUUUUGUGUAGGUAGCUAACAUGAAGGCCUAGCUUGAGUUUGCGAAAGUAUUUAAAUUAAAGAAAACUUAGUGGUUAACAUCGAAAACUUGUUUCUUGGCUUCACUAUAAUUCUUUUUACUUGACUAAUAGGUGUUAUGGAAAUUAAAGACUCUAGCCAUCAUGUUUGAUAAAUUUGUUUUGUAAACUUUGACAGAAUAUCUGCAGCCUUUUGUAUUAAUAAACUUUGUUCAUUGAUAAA